rnacentral:RNase_P_RNA from 1 species
CCAGUCGGCCGGGCAGCCGCGCUUCACAUUGUCGAAAGGCCGUGAGGUGAGGAAAGUCCGGGCUCCACGGAAACACGGCGCCGGAUAACGUCCGGCGGGGGCGACCCCAGGGAUAGCGCCACAGAAAACAGACCGCCCGGCAUGCCGGGUCAGGGUGAAAAGGUGGGGUAAGAGCCCACCGCGGAUCCGGCAACGGAGACGGCAUGGCAAGCCCCGCCGGGAGCAAGACCGAAUAGGGACGACGCGUCCGCUUCAUGCGGCAGGCCUGUUUCUGGGCCAGUCGUCCGGGUGGGUUGCGAGAGGCGUCGCGCAAGCGGCGUCCCAGAUGAAUGGCUGCCACGUUCCGGAGAAAUCCGGAGCCUUACAGAACCCGGCUUACAGGCCGACUGGCGAU